rnacentral:lncRNA from 1 species
GAGGAAACAAGGAAACUUGUUGAAAAAAUGCGUCAGGAAGCAGCUGCAAAACUUUUUGAUGGAACAAUUGAAGAUGAAGGGCAGGCCGCUAAUGGAGCACAAACUGCUGGCACAGGUUCCAGAAUGGUCGGUGGAAAACGAAGAGUAUUUGGAAGCAUGACAGGCGGAGGUGAUGACCUGGGCAGCUCUGAUUCUGACUCUGAUUUGUUUUUUGAUGAUGACGAUAAUGACGAUGAUGAUGAUGAAGACGAUGAUGAUGAUGACGAUGAUGAAGAUGAUGAUGAUGAUGGCAGACAUGAUGAGGAUCAUGACAAGAAUGCAGACAGAGGAGACGGAGAUUAUUAAUCUGAGGAUCAUGACAAGAAUGCAGACAGAGGAGACGGAGAUUAUUAAUCUGAUGAUCCUGGAAUUUUCCAUAAUUCGACGGUGUAAUUCGGCAAUCACAUAACUCGGUUUGCGACGUCGCAGACUUCCUGUUAUACUUUAUUUUUUAAACGGAAAACUACUCAACGGCAAUUCUUUAAAAAUGCUGUGAUUUUUCUUCUCUAUGUGAAGAAAAACUUCAAUGAAUUAUGUCAAUUUGUUGUCUUUUAAAAAAAAUAACAUAGAGACGGAGAUUUUCAGACACCGCAAACGAGUUAUGUGAUUGCCGACUUACACCGUCGAAUUAGUCUGAUAAAAGGUAGCCCAUGGCUGAAACAUUUUCUUUCAGUCAUGAUUGUUUUGUCAUCAAAGAUUUCAAAUGAAGAGAUUUUUUUUUCGUUUGUCUCAAAUUGUCCUCAAGUAUGACCCUCCUCUUGAAUUCUGGCCUUCAAAUUCUUCUUUUUUAUGUAACUAUCUUUAUGAACAUAAACUACUUAAGUUAAACAAAUUAUGGUUUUUUAAAUUAAUAAAGUUUUAGCUAGAAGAUAACAUUAAGUAAUUUGUCAAGUUAAAAUUGAAAUUUAUCAAUCUAGCCUGCUUUGAGACAAAUAUUUAAACUAAAGUACCCAUAUUAAUUAAACUAAAUUUUCUUCGCUCCCUAGUUGUGUUUCUAUCUUUCGUCUAUGCUUUCAUUUCCUUUUAUUAAAGCCGAACAAAUCAACGCUAUUGCUUCAAAUUUUCCUAGACUAUGCUUCACACAAAGAAGAGAGAUUAGGGAAAUUUUCAAGGAAUGACAUUGUAUAUUUUUCCAUUUGAAAAAUAAAGUAAAUAAGACAAGAAGCCUGCAACAUUGCAAACCAAGAUACACAUUCCUGCAGUUUCACUGUCAAUAUUCAUGGGAAUAUUCAUAACACCAACAUUUUAUUUACUUAUUAAUAAAAACGGACAAAAAAGUAGUAAGCACAGCUCCUUAUUGCAAUAUGCAGUCCAUUUUAUUGCGGUUCAAGGAAGCAGGAAAAAUCACCUUGAGGACUGAUGGUGAAAGUCCCAAAAAUGUAUCUUGAUUACUUUGAUGUCUUGUAAAUUGACGUCUUUUUGAAAUUUUCAAAGAUUUUCCAUCAUCCUUUAUGGACAAUUUAUUUAAUAUUUCGAACAGUAUUUAGUGUUCACUGGUUCUCCUUUCAGGGUGUCUGCAGGUCUGGAAAACCGGGAAAACCGGGAAAUAUCAGGGAAUUUGAUCACUGUCUGGAAAACCGGGAAAAGUCAGGGAAU